rnacentral:rRNA from 1 species
ACGCACGCUGGCGGCGUGCCUCAUACAUGCAAGUAGAACGCUGAAGCUUGGUGCUUGCACCGAGCGGAUGAGUUGCGAACGGGUGAGUAACGCGUAGGUAACCUGCCUGGUAGCGGGGGAUAACUAUUGGAAACGAUAGCUAAUACCGCAUAAGAGUAGAUGUUGCAUGACAUUUGCUUAAAAGGUGCAAUUGCAUCACUACCAGAUGGACCUGCGUUGUAUUAGCUAGUUGGUGAGGUAACGGCUCACCAAGGCAACGAUACAUAGCCGACCUGAGAGGGUGAUCGGCCACACUGGGACUGAGACACGGCCCAGACUCCUACGGGAGGCAGCAGUAGGGAAUCUUCGGCAAUGGACGGAAGUCUGACCGAGCAACGCCGCGUGAGUGAAGAAGGUUUUCGGAUCGUAAAGCCCUGUUGUAAGAGAAGAACGAGUGUGAGAGUGGAAAGUUCACACUGUGACGGUAUCUUACCAGAAAGGGACGGCUAACUACGUG